rnacentral:rRNA from 1 species
GACGAACGCUGGCGGCGUGCUUAACACAUGCAAGUCGAACGGAAAGGCCCUGCUUUUGUGGGGUGCUCGAGUGGCGAACGGGUGAGUAACAAGUGAGUAACCUGCCCUUGAUUUUGGUAUAACUUCAGGAAACUGGGGCUAAUCCCGGAUAGGAGCUCCUGCUGCAUGGUGGGGGUUGGAAAGUUUCGGCGGUUGGGGAUGGACUCGCGGCUUAUCAGCUUGUUGGUGGGGUAGUGGCUUACCAAGGCCUUGACGGGUAGCCGGCCUGAGAGGGUGACCGGCCACAUUGGGACUGAGAUAGGGCCCAGACUCCUACGGGAGGCAGCAGUGGGGAAUAUUGCACAAUGGGCGGAGGCCUGAUGCAGCAACGCCGCGUGCGGGAUGACGGCCUUCGGGUUGUAAACCGCUUUCGCCUGUGACGAAGCGUGAGUGACGGUAAUGAGUAAAGAAGCACCGGCUAACUACGUG